rnacentral:misc_RNA from 1 species
GAUGAAGAACGCAGCGAAAUGCGAUAAGUAAUGUGAAUUGCAGAAUUCAGUGAAUCAUCGAAUCUUUGAACGCACAUUGCGCCCGUCAGUAUUCUGGCGGGCAUGCCUGUCCGAGCGUCAUUUCAACCCUCAAGCCCCCGGGCUUGGUGUUGGGGAUCGGCGAGCCUCCGCGCCCGCCGUCCCCUAAAUCUAGUGGCGGUCUCGCUGUAGCUUCCUCUGCGUAGUAGCACACCUCGCACUGGGAAACAGCGCGGCCACGCCGUUAAACCCCCAACUUCUGAACGUUUGACCUCGGAUCAGGUAGGAAUACCCGCUGAACUUAAGCAUAUCAAUAAGCGGAGGA